CGGUUCGGUUCGGGUCCGGUUUGAUUCGGUCGAUUUGAGAGUUUUGUUCAGCUCUAACUAGCAAAAGUUAGCCUCAAGUCAAGUUGCCUACAGAUUUUCGUAGACUAUAGAACCAAGAUCAUUAUCCAACAGAUUCCAAACUUUUGAGGUUGUGUACUCCGAUUGGAGCUUGUCAACAUAAACAUAUGAAUUUGGCGACCUAUUUGGGCUAGUGACUUCUGUAUUUACAUUUAAUUUCCUAGUACAGAGUAUUGACAUGCAGGAAUUAUCCAACAGAUUCCAAACUUAGUGUUUUUGAUUGUUCCAGAAGAAAUGAAAACCUUGAUAUACCCCAGAAUAAUACAUUUUUGUUACCACGAGACAUAUUGGCAGCCGCUGAUCCCUUAGUUUCACUUGGUUGGGGCAGAGUUUCAGCCUUCCUUCCACCGAGCACCCCCUACAUAUUUGAUACCUUCUCCUACAAAGAAACUUAUAACACCAACCCCAUUUAAUUUAGGAAAAUUUUCUAUUUCCAAGCUUUCAGAAUAAUUAUUUAUGAUUGAAGGUUGUGUACUCCGAUUGGAGCUUGUCAACAUAAACAUUUAAAUUUAGAGACCUAUUUGGGCUAGUGGCUUCUGUAUUUACAUUUAAU
rnacentral:lncRNA from 1 species